UACAGAGGUCCCAAGCGUUUGUUCGGAUUCAUUGGGCGUAAAGGGUGCGUAGGCGGCGCGGUAAGUCGGGUGUGAAAUCUCGGAGCUUAACUCCGAAACUGCAUUCGAUACUGCCGUGCUUGAGGACUGGAGAGGAGACUGGAAUUUACGGUGUAGCGGUGAAAUGCGUAGAUAUCGUAAGGAAGACCAGUGGCGAAGGCGGGUCUCUGGGACGGUACUGACGCUGAGACGCGAAAGCGUGGGGAGCGAACAGG
rnacentral:rRNA from 1 species